UUUUCGUAUAAGAUGUAAGGAAGGGAUCCAGUUUCAGCUUUCUGCAUAUGGCCAGCCAUUUUUCCCAACACCAUUUAUUAAAUAGGGAACGCUUUCCCCAUUACUUGUUUUUGUCAGUUUUGUCAAAAAUCAGAUAGUUGUAGAUGUGUGGCAUUAUUUCUGAGGCCUCUGUUCUGUUCCAUUGGUCUGUAUAUCUGUUUUGGUACCAGCAAUGGUGAUUUGGUUACUGUAGCCUUGUAGUAUAGUUUGAAGUGAGGUAGUGUGAUGCCUCCAGCUUUGUUCUUUUUGCUUAGGAUUGUCUUGGCUAUAUGGACUCUUUUUUGGUUCCAUAUGAAAUUUAAUGUAGUUUUUUUUUCCAAUUCUGUGAAGAAAGUCAAUGGUAGCUUGAUGGGAAUGGCAUUGAAUCUAUAAAUUACUUUGGGCAGUAUGGCCAUUUUCAUGACAUUGAUUAUUCCUAUUCAUGAGCAUGGAAUGUUUUUCAUUUGUUUGUGUCCUUUCUUAUUUCCUUUUGGCAGUCAUUUGUAGUUCUCCCUGAAGCAGUCCUUCACAUCCCUUGUUUUAUUCCUAGGUAUUUUAUUCUUUUUGUAGCAAUUGUGAAUGGGAGUUCACUCAUGAUUUGCCUCUCUGGUUGUCUGUUACUGGUGUAUAGAAAUGCUUGUGAUUUUUACACAUUUAUUUUGUAUCCUGAGACUUGGCUGAAGUUGCUUAUCAGCUUAAGGAGAUUUUGGGCUGAGACGGUGGGAUUUUCUAAAUAUACAAUCAUGUCAUCUGCAAACAGAGACAAUUUGACAUCUUCAUUUCCUCAUUGAAUACCCUUUAUUUCUUUAUCUUGCCGGAUUGCCCUGGCCAGAACUUCUACUAUAUUGAAUAGGAGUGGUGAGAGAGGGUAUCCUUGCCUUGUGCCAGUUUUCAAAGGGAAUGCUUCCAGUUUUUGCCCAUUUAGUAUGAUAUUGGCUGUGGGUUUGUCAGCUCAUCCGAGUGUUGUCUUUAGAAUGUUGAGCUGGGUAUCCGGGGGAACAAUUUUCAUUCUGCUUGAUCAUUCUGCUGUUUUAUUUUUUUCAAUAUAUUAGAUGUCUAGAUAGUUCAGGAUGACUAGAACUAUUAUGCUGUGUUCCAAACCACUUUUUACAUUUUAUUCAAAAUGCACCAUGUAGUUUCCUAUUUUAAUAGAGUGAAAAAUAAACUCCAAAACAAUGCAACUUUUUUCUCUCUA
rnacentral:lncRNA from 10 species